rnacentral:rRNA from 1 species
GACGAAGGAUGCAAGCGUUAUCCGGAUUCAUUGGGUUUAAAGGGAGCGUAGGUGGCCUUGUAAGUCAGUGGUGAAAUCUGACAGCUUAACUGUUAAAUUGCCAUUGAUACUGCAAGGCUUGAGUACAGAUGCCGUUGGCGGAAUAUGACAUGUAGUGGUGAAAUACAUAGAGAUGUCAUAGAACACCGGUGGCGAAGGCGGUUCUCUGGGCCUUACCUGACGCUGAGGAGCGAAAGCGUGGGGAGCGAACAGG